rnacentral:misc_RNA from 1 species
UUUUUCUUUACAAAGGAUAUUUUACAAGGUAAACCCAUAGAUAUCUACCAGGCACAAGAUGAGAAACAGGUGGCGCGUGACUUUACAUACAUUGACGAUGUGGUAAAAGGGUGUAUAGGGGCGUUGGACACGGCGGAGAAGAGCACAGGUAGCGGCGGAAAGAAGAAAGGUCCAGCUCAGCUAAGGGUAUACAAUCUUGGAAACACAUCCCCUGU